GACGUAGGGCGCAAGCGUUGUCCGGAUUUAUUGGGCGUAAAGAGCUCGUAGGCGGCUUGUUGCGUCGUCCGUGAAAACCCGCAGCUCAACUGCGGGCUUGCGGACGAUACGGGCAGGCUGGAGUUCGGUAGGGGAGACUGGAAUUCCUGGUGUAGCGGUGAAAUGCGCAGAUAUCAGGAGGAACACCGGUGGCGAAGGCGGCCAACUGGACGAAUACUGACGCUGAGACACGAAAGCGUGGGGAGCGAACAGG
rnacentral:rRNA from 1 species